AUUGAACGCUGGCGGCAGGCUUAACACAUGCAAGUCGAACGAGAGGCGGACGGGUGAGUAAUGUCUGGGAAACUGCCUGAUGGAGGGGGAUAACUACUGGAAACGGUAGCUAAUACCGCAUACCAUCAGAUGUGCCCAGAUGGGAUUAGCUAGUAGUUGGGGUAAUGGCUCACCUAGGCGACGAUCCCUAGCUGGUCUGAGAGGAUGACCAGCCACACUGGAAAUGAGAAACGGACCAGACUCCGACGGGAGGCAGCGGUGGGGAAUAUUGCACAAUGGACGAAAGCCUGAUGCAGCCAUGCCGCGUGUGUGAAGAAGGCCUGCGGGUUGUAAAGAACUUUCAGCGAGGAGGCGUUACUCGCAGAAGAAGCACCGGCGAACUACGUGCCAGCAGCCGAGGUAAUAC
rnacentral:rRNA from 1 species